CGAACGCUGGCGGCGUGCUUAACACAUGCAAGUCGAGCGGUAAGGCUCCUUCGGGAGUACACGAGCGGCGAACGGGUGAGUAACACGUGAGUAAUCUGCCCUUCACUUCGGGAUAACCACCGGAAACGGUGGCUAAUACCGAAUACGACCAGUCUUCGCAUGAGGUGCUGGUGGAAAGUCUUUUCGGUGAAGGAUGUGCUCGCGGCCUAUCAGCUUGUUGGUGGGGUAAUGGCCUACCAAGGCUUCGACGGGUAGCCGGCCUGGGAGGGUGACCGGCCACACUGGGACUGAGACACGGCCCAGACUCCUACGGGAGGCAGCAGUGGGGAAUAUUGGACAAUGGGCGAAAGCCUGAUCCAGCAACGCCGCGUGAGGGAUGACGGCCUUCGGGUUGUAAACCUCUUUCAGUACCGACGAAGCGCCCUGUCGGGUGGUGACGGUAGGUACAGAAGAAGGACCGGCCAACUACGUG
rnacentral:rRNA from 1 species